rnacentral:misc_RNA from 1 species
GAAAUGCGAUAAGUAAUGUGAAUUGCAGAAUUCCGUGAAUCAUCGAAUCUUUGAACGCACAUUGCGCCCUCUGGCAUUCCGGGGGGCAUGCCUGUCCGAGCGUCAUUACGCACCCUCAAGCCCGGCUUGUGUGAUGGGCCCUGGCGUCUCGUUCGCGAGACGGGCCCGAAAGGCAGCGGCGGCGUCGACCCGAUGAGCCCGAGCGUAUGGGGACUUUUGUCACACGUUUGCGGUGCGGACCGGCGCCUGCUUGACUUUUCUGAUUAUCCAGGUUGACCUCGGAUCAGGUAGGGAUACCAGCUGAACUUAAGC